rnacentral:lncRNA from 1 species
UUUUUUUUUUGUCUUUUUGCCAUUUCUUGGGCCACUCCCACAGCAUAUAGAGGUUCCCAGGCUAGGGGUCGAAUCGGAGCUGUAGUUGCCAGCCUACAUCAGAACCACAGCAACACGGGAUCCGAGCCACAUCUGCGACCUACACCACAGCUCAUGGCAAUGCCGGAUCCUUAACCCACUGAGCAAAGGCAGGGAUCGAACCUGCAACCUCAUGGUUCCUAGUUGGAUUCGUUAACCACUACGCCACGACGGGAACUCCUGUCCAGGGUUCUUGGCCUCCUUAAUAGAAAUUGAUAAGAGGCUAGUCAGGGAAAUUCAGGCAAGGUUUUAUUAUAGGUCCCCUGUUGCAGCAGGGGAGGGGGGAUAAAAAAGCAACAGGUCCCUUUCCUCACUCUCUAAGGUGGGUGUGAACAGGUUCCUUAUAUGAGGUGAGGGUAAGAGGUCCAGAAGUCAGGCCAGAGGAGUGGCUUAGGUAGUUUGCCCACCCUUUUGGUGGUACUGUGUGCAGGGGGCAUGCACAGUACUCUGGCUUUUGCUUUUGACACCCUGCUUUUGCUUUCAGCUCUUCAAAAGUGGCCAUUGUUUUUAUAGUUUUUUUGUAUCUUGUUGUCUACAACUUUCCCCAACUACCAGGUACAGUUAUUUUCAGUCCCUUAUAUAGUUACUUUGUAUUUUAUUGCUCAAGGGGUUGCUUGUCCUGAUGCAAGCACUGCAGCAACUGCAGCGAAGGGUCUCAGGUCCCAGCCUGUCUCACUACCAUCUUUCCACGUCCUUGCAUCACAAAGGCUGGUUGUUCCCACCCUCUGGUCCCUGCUCUUUAGAUGGGGAAGCAACCAGUUGGUACCUGCCCUAUGUUCCAUAGGAAAGCGAAACCUAUUGGGAGACAAUUUAAGAAAAGACUAUGGUUUUAAUCUUGAUACAAAUAUUUAAGGGGAAAAAAAACCCCACAACAUCAGAGGCAACUUGAGUGUUUUGAAAGUAAAAUAGUUGGUUUACAUACACAGGGCCCCUUUCUAUAGACAUCUGGCAACAUGCUAUGUGCUUUAUCAACACCAAAAGAGCAGAAAUGAUUUUUAACUCAGCUACAUGGACAGCCUUAUAAACAGACAAAAAAGCCCCACAAUCAUUGCUAUCUAUACCUGAAACCUAUAAGAACUGAGAAAUCAAGGUGUAUAUUCUCCUCUACAAGUUAAACUUGGAAAACUGGAGAUGUGUAAAGUGACUUAAAGGAUACAGGAUGACUUCUACGUGAAGAAGGGAGCCCACUGGGCAAUUUGAAGCAUAGAAGAUAGAGGCAACUGCGGUUUCUCACAGGCCAAGUGCUUUGCUAAACCAUUUGCUCACCAUGUUCAUUUACAGGAAACUUGGAGCACAGUGAGGCAAGUAACUGACCCAAGGUCACAGGAGCAAUCCCAGGAGGCCCAACCAAGCACCAUGUAAGGAUCUGGUCCUGGUGGCUGAUCCCACUCAUCAGUGAAUUGAUGUAAUCAACCAUCUCAGCCUCCUGCCACUGAAUAUUUAAAUCACAUAUUUCACUUAUCCUGGAUGGCUGCAGCUUCACUGGGCAACCAGCUGACUACAAUUUGUCUUCAUGCCUCCAGGGACAUAAUGGGUUGCCUGGUGAAAUGUGUCUACCCCUUAGCAAGUGGCGCUUGCUGUAUGUUCAUCAAUCGGCUUUCUGGUUUUACAUAUUAGGGUCCAGAGUUAGUGAGUUUAUGAGUCCAUACCCCAGAAAAGAAACCACUAGCAGUGCAAGGACAAAUGAGUGUGCAGAGCCUGUGGGGACCAGGCCCAGAAUGUGACAAAUUCACAAAAUGAAUGCCAUCCUGCCAUGAGAUCCCCAGUGGGUUUGGGGCAGGAAAUCGGAACACUGCCAUGGGACAAGUUGGUCCCUCUUCCUUUUAGUUAAAUGCACACAAUUACAUACCCCACAAUCUCUGAUAGUCCAUGAUUUCCCAAAACAUUUUUUUUUUAAUUGCAGAAAAUAAAAGCCUAAGGUCAUACAGUUAACCUAUAAAGAACUCAUUACACCACCUUUUAGUGCUCCCUUACAAAGAGAUUCCCCUGAAUAUAUCGAGUCAGGACAUGCCUUAUUUGUACCUCUUCAUGCCAUCCUGCACUUUCGAUAUGGAUUAUAAAAUCUUCUGUGCUUUUAUUUUUUUAACUUCAAAGUCACUAAAACUAAAAGCUCUGCUCCCUUCUCUUUAAAGUUACGCAUUUAUAAACAAGCCACCAUUAGAAAUAAAAUAUUCUAAAUGCUACUUCAAAUAGUUGGUCCAUGUUUUAGCAAAACAGGGCAGUUCCACUUAAUCCAGUUUCCUUUGAAGACAAAGUGCUUUCAAAUUCGAUCUUUAAAAAUGGGUCACCUGCAACUGUGUCGAUUUUCUAAUUUAUUCAUUGCCUUAACCUGGACAUGCCCAGGCACCCCAGGCAACCUGUUCACAGACAGUCCCUGCUGGAGUUUAAAUUAGGGGGAAAAGCACCCUGAAUGAUUUUUAGAAAACAGAGCCAAAUCCCAGGAUGGCAUUACAGCAGAGGGUUUAAGAGCAGCCUGAGAUUGGAAGCAUAUAAAGACCAGAAUCCCAGAUCUGCUACAGAAGGACUAUUGCCCUUGGCAAGUUGUCUAACUCCUCUGAAUCUCAGUUUCUUUUCUCAUCUGUAGGCUGAAACAAUUUUAUUUUUUAGUUUUUAAUGAUUUUUAUUUUAUCCAUUAUAGUUGAGACAAACAAUUUUAAAAGCUAACAUUCAAGUAAUUAUUAGUUCCAGACAUUUUUAUUUAAUGGCCACACCCAUGACAUAUGGACGUUCCUGGGCCAGAGAUUGAAUCCGAGCCACAGCUGUGACCUACACCACAGCUAUGGCAAUGUCAGAUCCUUUAAUCCACUGCACCAGGCCGGGGAUUGAACCUGAGCCUCUGUAAGCCCCAAGCUGCUGCAAUCAGGUUCUUAAUCCACUGAGCCAUAGUGGGAACUCCCCAGACAUUAUUCUGAUUAGCAAGUUCAGCCUCACCACUUUAUAAAGAAGGUGGUUUAUUUCUGCCAUUUUAUAGCUGGAGAACUUGAAGUUCAGUGAGAUUAAAAGACUUGGCAAGGCCACCCAGCUAGUCAACAAUGGAGCUGGGAUUGGAACCCAAGCUGUCUGACCCUGACUUGCUUCUGUAAUUAUUUUACCUAAUACCACCCAGACUGGAUAAUAUAAUUGAAUGAGGUGAUACAUAUAAAGCACACUGUCUAGCAUGCAUUAAAUACUUAGAAAUUACAGGUGUUAUUUUAAUUUUUAAUUAUUAGUUUAUUUUGCUGAGCUAAAAAACAAAUGUAAGCCCUUACUCCUGGUAAACUCAUAAAUUUCCUGUUUAUGGAGUGAUUACUUAGAAUACUCUAAUAGCAGCAGCAAUAAUGCCAUAAUAGUAACAGCAGUUCAGAGUAUGGCUCCAAGCUCAGGUCUGGGUUCCAAAUCCAGUGUCAGAGACUGAGUGCUUGUGUUCCCCAAAUUUGCGUGUUGAAGUCCUAGCCUCCAACACGGUGGUAUCUGGAGCAGGGGGCCUUUGGGAGAUAAUCAGGUUAGGCUGAGGUCAUGAGGGUGGGGCCCUUGUGAUGAGAACAGUGCCCUUACAAGAAGAGAAAGACUGCAAUUUCUCCCUUCUGCACACACACUGAGGACAGCAGUGUGAGGACCCAGCAGAAGGUGGCUGUCUGCAAGGCAGGAAGCGGCUGUCACUGGGAACCCAUCUGCCAGCACCUUGAUCCUGGAUGUCCCAGUUUCAGAACUGUGAGACACCAAUGCCUGGUGUUUAAGCCACCCAGUCUGCGAUGUUUGCUGUAGCAGCUUGGGCUGACAAAAACACCAAGUCUGCUGCUUAUUGACUGGUGAGAACACAGGCAAGUUGCUUAAUCUCUCCAAGCCUCAUCCACACAGAGCCCCCUACUUCAUAAGAGUGUGGUGAGAAUUACAGAAAAUGAAAUAUCAAAAGCACUUAGCACAGUGCCUGGCAGAGAGUAUGAAUCUCUAAAUAUCAGUUAUUAUUUUGGGUAUGGCUGCUUCUCUCAUAGACUCCAAACCCUCUUAGGAGAGGCUGCUUAGCCAUCUCCAUGACGUUUCCUCUUACACACCUGUGUGUUCACCAUCACAGCCCAGCAGUGCCAACACAGAUACACAGCAGCCACACGGGCUUUUCAGUUUUGCCAUUGUUCUUCCCAUAUCCUUUUUUGGCAACCUUUCUUUUUUAUUGUGAUUUUUAUUUUUUCCAUUAGAGUUGAUUUACGGUGUUCUGUCAGUUUCUACUGUACAGCAAAGUGACCCAGUCAUUCAUAUAUUCUUUUUCUCACAUUAUCCUCCAUCAUGUUCCAUUACAAAUGACUGGAUAUAGUUCCCUGUGCUAUACAGCAGGAUCUCAUUGCUUAUCCACUCCAAAUGCAAUAGUUUGCAUCUGUUAACUCCAGACUCUCAGUCCACCCCACUCCUUCACCCUCCCCAUUGGCAAUCACAAGUCUGAUCUCCAAAUCCAUGAGUUUCUUUUCUGUGGAAAGGUUCAUUUGCGCCAUAUGUUAGAUUCCAGAUAUGAGUGAUAUAUGGUAUUUGUCUUUCUCUUUCUGACUUACUUCACUUGUAGGAGAGUUUCUAGUUCCAUCCAUGUUGCUGUAAAUGGCAUUAUUUUGUUCUUUUUUAUGGCAGUAGUAUUCCAUUGUGCAUAUUUACCACAUCUUAAUCCACUCUUCUGCCGGUGGAUAUUUACACUGUUUCUAUGUCUUGGCUAUUGCAUUAGUGCUGCAAUGAACAUAGGGCUGAAUGUAUCUUUUUCAAGGGAAGUUUUGUCCA